CCGACUUUUGGUGUAUUUUAAGUACCAGUCAGUGCUUAGACACUUUUGUAGAUAUGUAUAUUCGGAAUCUUCGGAAAAUUCAAACUCAAAAACAAACUCCAGAUACCAGAUGUCCAAAGCAACGGAGAAGCCGAAAACUGGAUCUUACGUUAUAGGUGAUAUUUUCUGGAUCCACCAGAUGUGGGCCAGACUUAUAAUUCCGUCCAAGCGACAGCGACAUCGUUUUUUCACUGUAUUUUCGAUCAUAAACGAAACGGGCAGCAUGGCGUGAUCUCGUGUUUGAAUCUGCGGCACUCAUGAGGUCAUCGAUUUCCAAGUGUUCCAAUAUUCCUUCGAUACAAUCGAUGUUCAAAUCGGUUCAGAAAAUGUCUAAUGCUCAAACUUGUACUGAUGCUGUUUCUGUUCUUUCGAUCUGAGAGCUAACUUGCAACUGAUUCUUCUGAUCGAUUGGUCACUUGCUACGACCGCUUCGAAAUGGAAAGGAAAGGAAAAGAGCAAAGAAAUCGAGUAAAAAGGACAUGUCAUUAGGACAUUCAUGAACAAUGAGUAAUUAAGCAUGCCAGACAAUGUUCCUAAUUGAAGCAAAGAUUUGGUUCCUCAUUAUGCUGCAGUUAAAUGGAAACGUUGAAAGAGCAAAUGACACGAAAUAGAAGAGAGUGAGAUUAUUUUUCAUCAAAUGACUUUGCUUAUGUAUUCGAAAAUUUCCAGUGACGUACUCAACCGAAGAAAUGGAUUGAAAUAUGAGAAAUAGCAUCAUCACACAUGGACAAUUAUAACUUCGAAUUUAUGAAAUAUUUGUGUUAGACACGAACGGUUUCUAUCGUUUCAAAUGAAUAUGAAUGACUCCCCCUUUUUCACAAGUAAUUUAUUUCAACUUGUAUUUUCUGCGUUGGACGUUGACUGACUGUUUUAAGUCUAGCUCAUCUCCUUUUAUACGAUUUUGUCGGCAAGGAGUACUUUUUAGACACCAAUGCUGAAUAAUUCAAAAUAUUGUCGUUGUGAAUAGGUCAGCCGAAAAACUAUCAUUGGACACGACAUUGAUUUGAUUGCACGAAAUUGAUGCCAGAAAAAAUUGUACACGGAUUUGAGAUAAAAAAAUUUCCUUUUUCUUCAACUUUGUCCCUUCCUUGUCAGCGCAUAUGUUUAAUAAAUCGAUAUU